AUCCCUUUGUAGUUCACGAGCAUGGUGAUUGGGUGCUCAAGCCCAUAUGUGAGGUGUGUCUCCCUCAAACCUUGUUACAACGUCGGCACAGCAUCAUCUGACG